CGGUGCCGCAGUGAGUUGGGUGGCGGUGAUUUGUUCGCGGGCGCAGGCUGGGAGGCGGGGUUCCUGACUCACUGCGGCACUGGCAGGGCUGGUGACAGCACCACCCCCGCGCCGCCUGCAAUCUGCCACCGCUGCCACCGAGCCGAGGGGCGCCAGCAAGGCAUCCCCUGGGUCAAGGGGCCUCCCGUGGGCUUUCCAAACAGCCUGUGCUCAUUUCCGCGGGAGCCCUCGGGGCGCUGUGCUGUGGCUGCAUUGUCACUGUUUGUUUAUUUCUACAUCUGCUCUGUUAGAAGAUAGGCUCGCUUAGGACAGAGCCUUCUAAUCCACCCCCUGAUGAAUUCGGGCCCUCGCCUUUGGCACAAUGCCUGGCGUCAUCACAACGCGGGUGAUCAGUAAACGGCAGCGAAGGAAGCGGGGUCAGGACUGGAGAGGAGAGGGGGAGGAAGACAGACGACCGGAGAGGAACAAAAAUGGAAGGUAACUUGAGCUUUCAUAACUGCAGAAGUGCAAAACAGCUCCCUGUGUGAUAUAGGAAGUAAAACCGUAGAGAUGGGACUUGGCUGGCCUGCCCUUCACACACUUUAGACAUUAACCCAAAGUUCAUGCUCCUGCCAUGACAGUGAUGGUGGACAGGAGGGAAGAAAAUGACAAGGAGGAAAGGAGGUGUCUUUUGCUCUUAAAAAUGAGAAGGGUCAUAAACAAUCCAUCGGCUGCAAACCACGAGUUGCCCCCAAAGCAAAGCAGGUUAGUGGCUGCUGCCGCCUCAUCAUAGCUUCAGAACCCACAGAGCCUGGAGGACUGUCAAACAUUAUCUAAUAUCCCAUUCUACAGAAGAGAAAACUGAGGUUGAGGCAGGAACGCAGACAGGAAUCAAGGUUUUGGGGUUGGGAUUUGCAAUCCAUUACUUUGCCUCCUGCAUCCACUGCUUUUCCCUGGGCAUUCUCUUCUUCCGGUUUCUUGGAAGUUAAAAUUGCGAGAGAAGCAACACAGAGUGGUUUUCCCAGGGCCUCGACCUCGGUAAGGGAAGACGUGGAAUUCCGAGUGUGGAGACCCAGACAGCCUCCGAAACCCCCACGCAACCCUGGGCGUUCAGCAGCUGCCAAUGCCCGCCUGACAAGUUUCUGGGGCAUCUCUGCACACGGAGAGGUGUGUCUCCUGCAGCUCCAAAAACAGAUUUUGCCAUCUCAUCCCCAUAUUUGCAGUCUCCAGUUGGCUUCUUGUGAUUGGCCAGAACUUUUCCUCACUGGAGAGAUGAGGAGAAUCCAGUCCUCCAACCAGCUGAGAGAAAACACUGCAGUAGCAGAGAUAGCAAUGGCUGUUCCACCCCACACUGAUACGAUGUCAGGGAGCCAGGGGUGGGCUCAACAGGCUGAAUGAUGCCAGGGACUCCCAAGGGUCUAUACAUUUAACCCUGGAGGAAGUGGCCUCUGACCAGAACAAGUAAGAAUGGACAGAGGAAUACCAUGUGCUGACUGACGAACGCCUGGGUUUCUGAACCAAUUGCCAUCAAGGGGAUUGGGAUUACCAUAAUUUUUGCUGAGACUAAGCCCCACCCCAGUAACCAAAGGCAGUGUUUCAAGAACCCAGCUCCAUUCAUCCUAUGAUGCCACCAUCCUCAGCAUUUGACUUCCAUGGCUCCUAUAUGCUGCCAAGAGAAUUUUUUUCUUUAAGAACAAAUAAACUAAAGAAAUUAACAUCCAGCUUGCUGAGUCACUUGCUUUCCACUUGAAUUUUAACUACAAGGAUCUGAAGACAGCCUGUGUUAGGCAGAGAAAGAAAGAGACAGAGAAAGAGUCAGGGAGAAGAGAGGAAGAGAGAUGUAGCUGGAGAGUCAGGGAGAAAUUCAAAGAGAUGGAGAGAGAGACUGGUUCUGGAAAGAAAAGAUAAGUUAAAUAGAAAAAGGAAAGUAAUCUUUGAAAGGUUUGUUUAAGACAUGUAUUUUCUUACUCUGUAGUGGGAGCGCUGAAUAAAAAUAUUUAAAUAAAAGCUGUAAUGUGAUUAAGGUUUGAGUUGGGGUUUAAUCGUGGAAAGAGCAAGGUAUUUAGAGUGAAAGAUCUAACUUUUGUAUUUAUUUUUCAUUUUUUAGUGUUUUCGCUUUUUUAAUCCCAGGUCCUCUACCAUUGACUAUCUGAUGUUAACAAAAUCAGUUCGCUUUUGUGUCUUGGUUUCCUCAUCUAUGAAAAGGGAAUAGAAAAACUUACCACAUAAGUUGGUAGGGAAGACACAAUUCUAUAAAA
rnacentral:lncRNA from 10 species